rnacentral:misc_RNA from 1 species
AAUACUACGGUAUUUGAAAGGUACACUAGAAAGAGGAAUUAUAUUCAAGAAAGGAGGAGUGACUCUUGAAGCCUAUACAAAUGCUAAUUAUGCAGGAUCCAUAGUUGAUAGAAAAUCUACAUCAGGUUAUUGCACCUUUUUAGAGGGUGAUCUUGUAACUUGGAGAAGCAAAAAGCAGCAUGUGGUUGUCAGGUCUAGUGCAGAAGCCGAAUUCAAAGCAAUGGCACUUGGGAUCUGUGAACUAUUAUGCAUAAAAAUAAUGUUAGAAGAACUAAAGGUUAGGUGGAAAUAGGAGUGGCCACAGUCUCGUUUCGAAUCGGAAUUGAACCGGAACCAGUUCAGUCAAAACCAGACUGAAACCGGCUUCGAACAGGAUUGAAACCGUCCUUCUACGGUUUGG